UUGAUUGACUUCUCCAUAUUUAUUUGUACAAAAAUGCUCCUGGGUGGCUUCCAUCUGACGUGGAAGCGCCUGAUAACACUAGGUAACCAGUCGUAGGCAGGAUCGUGUAGGUUCUUGCCUCCUUUCUUCACCAGGAACGCAUCUGCCUGUAAAACAAAUUCAGUUAUAAGGCAAGUUCCCGAAUGACAUGCGCACACACACAUCUGCAGCAGGAGCCUCAGAAUAAAGUUAGAAUCAAGGGCUGAUGAUCAGCGCUCAUAGUAGAUGUCAGAAAAGUAAUUAAUUGGUCAUCACAGGCUAAACAUGUUCGAAAUGCCAAUCAUUUGGACUUACCAGAUGUGUCCAUAAGAACCGUGGACUAUCUGAAACACAGCGGCCUCUGACUUCAUUCUGACCUGUAGCAAUUGGAAGUAAAAAAAAUAGGUUAGAAAGUGAAACCGAAGCCAAAGACUACAGAUAUACUAUUAAGAGCCUCAGAAUAAAGUUAGAAUCAAAGGCUGAUGAUCAGCUCUCAUUGGAGAUGUCAGAAAAGUAAUUAGUUGUUCAUCACAGGCUAAACAUGUUCGAAAUGCCAAUCAUUUGGACUUACCAGAUGUGUCCAUAAGAACCGUGGACUAUCUGAAACACAGCGGCCUCUGACUUCAUUAUGACCUGUAGCAAUUGGGAGUCGAAAAAUAGGUUAGAAAGUGAAAUCUAAGGCAAAGACUACAGAUAUACUAAUAAGAGCCUCAGAAUAAAGUUAGAAUCAAAGGCUGAUGAUCAGCUCUCAUUGGAGAUGUCAGAAAAGUAAUUAGUUGUUCAUCACAGGCUAAACAUGUUCGAAAUGCCAACACAAUAAAACUCACCAGCUCUCAGUCCAGCGAGUGGUCCGCCUGCUCAAACAAAGCAGGAACAGCCUCCCAACUCUCUGCUGAACCGACUUCAUCUGCAAAGCAAACGAGAAGGACGCUAAAGUACAAAAGAUACCAGGUUUGAAUACCAAUAGAACGUCAGAUGUUAUCGGCCAUUCCGCCGAUGGUUGUGGCAAUACGGUUAAACCUUCGUAUGGAAGGACAUCCCACGGUUGUACGGAUAGCUGCAUAUUGUAUUUGAAUAGUCUGCGAUUGGGAAAUAUCUACAUUGUAACAAACAUGUCGACGAAGAGCCACGUGUUCACAAAGUCGUUUAGGAACACCACAUUCUUUGAAAUGAACACACGAUAGUAACCAAAACGUUUUAACAAGUUGGAUUACUUACUUUACUUUAUAGCAAUACGGUUCAAUAGGUCACAUGUUACAGAGGUUGAAGCACCACGUGGCAGCACUGGCCCGCCACGUGGUGCUGUUGAAACCAACGUUAAAGGUUAGCAUACGUGGUGAGCACGUUAGCAACACGAUACUCACUUUCUUCACCGGUCUGGUUUCUUCACAGCAAACUGGCCCCGCGCUGGUUCUCUUUGCUGCCGGGGGAUCAAGUUCACAAGACGCCGCAUGUCGAGGCUGCAGGCGCGGGUCUCUCUUGCCGUGUGUGGUGAAGGAAAUGCACGUUCUAUCCAGAUGCGCCAGAGGAAAUGUACUUAUACGGCUUCCGUCUAACGGAAGUCCCGCCCCUCUCUGGGAUGGCUAGUGAGCUACAAGGCGGGUUAGCUUCCUCGCUAAACGCUAGCUUCCUAUAUUUAUGGAUAUUGUGAUGGGCUUUUGUGGCCAUGUUCGAGCAUGUCGAAGCCUCAUUCAGGUAGUGGGGAAUGCAUAUUAAUUUAAACAAAGAGAAACUACGGGGUUGUUCUAGCAUUGAACAACAACAGAAGAAGCUACGCCCUAGCCCACACGGGUAAUGGUUGAAGCUAACGUUAGGCCUCUUUAUUCAGAUGUAGA
ensembl:lncRNA